AAACAAUGAUGAGGACACUCUAAGAAAAGAUCCUUAAAACAUUCCAUACACCUAGAAAAUGAUUCAUUGGGCUUUCGGUGAAAUUGGAGAAUGUCAUUCCUAAGUUU
rnacentral:snoRNA from 1 species